rnacentral:rRNA from 1 species
UGACCUGCGGAGGAUCAUUAUUGAAAUUAUAGGCAAAGGUUGUAGCUGGCCUCUCGGGGCAUGUGCACGCCUGAGCCCUUUAAUCCACACACACCUGUGAACCAAUUGUAAGGGCCCCCUGAAAAGGGCCUUUACGUCUUAUUCAUCAACCCAUUGCAUGUCUCAGAAUGUAAACAUAUGUCCUCGCCUUAAAAAAGCGUUGAUAAACUUAUACAACUUUCAACAACGGAUCUCUUGGCUCUCGCAUCGAUGAAGAACGCAGCGAAAUGCGAUAAGUAAUGUGAAUUGCAGAUUUUCAGUGAAUCAUCGAAUCUUUGAACGCACCUUGCGCUCCUUGGUAUUCCGAGGAGCAUGCCUGUUUGAGUGUCAUUAAAUUCUCAACUCCGAUCGAUUUGUUUCGACCUCGGAGCUUGGACUUUGGAGCGUGCUGGCGUCGGUCGGCUCCUCUCAAAUGCAUCAGCGGAAUCUAACGUUUCGGACGUCAGUGUGAUAAUCACGUUGCGCUGUCGACCGAUCCUGAAAGCCCGCUCAUAAUGGUCUUCGGACAACUCCAUAUCAAAUUUGACCUCAAAUCAGGUAGGACUACCCGCUGAACUUAAGCAUAUCAAUA